UCCAAGUAUAAGACACAUAUGAAGCCUAGUU
rnacentral:piRNA from 1 species